rnacentral:rRNA from 1 species
GGUUAGGGAAGCGAACUCAGGGAACUGAAACAUCUUAGUACCUGAAGGAAAGGACAUCAACCGAGACUCCGUUAGUAGUGGCGAGCGAACGCGGACCAGGCCAGUGGCUGGUUAAGAAAAAUUAGAAUGCAAUGGAAAGUGCAACCGUAGUGGGUGAUAGUCCCGUAUAAGUAACUUCUUUUCCAGUCCUCGAGUAGGGCGGAACACGUGAAAUUCUGUCUGAACAUGGGGGGACCACCCUCCAAGCCUAAGUACCCCUAUUCGACCGAUAGUGAACAAGUACCGUGAGGGAAAGGUGAAAAGCACCCCGAUAAGGGGAGUGAAAGAGAUCCUGAAACCGUAUGCUUACAAUCAGUGGGAGCACCUUUAUGGUGUGACCGCGUACCUUUUGUAUAAUGGGCCAACGACUUAAUUUAUCAUGCGAGCUUAAGCCGAUAGGUGUAGGCGAAGCGAAAGCGAGUCUUAAUAGGGCGAUUUAGUAUGAUGCAUUAGACCCGAAACCGAGUGAUCUAGUUAUGGGCAGGUUGAAGGUGCGGUAACAUGCACUGGAGGACCGAACCCACUUAUGUUGAAAAAUGAGGGGAUGACCUGUGACUAGGGGUGAAAGGCCAAUCAAACUCGGAGAUAGCUGGUUCUCCGCGAAAUCUAUUUAGGUAGAGCGUCGGAUUUAUACCAACGGGGGUAGAGCACUGGAUGGAUGCGGGGGACGCGAGUCUUACCAAUUCUAACCAA